UUCACUCACAUUCCUUAUUGACUUCUUGUACUAGCCCUGUAAGAUGGAAAUGAUGAUCUCAGGGGAGAACAUGAGGCUCAGAUCCAUUAGGUGAUUGGCUCCCCUUUCCUUCCCAUCUCUUAGUCCUCCAGGCUCCCUCCGAGGCCGAACUAGAAUGGUCCUAUUUCAGUGUUUUUCAUUAUAGAACUAUUUUGCCAGCAAAAGGAAAUGGAAAUGUGAUAAAGAUACCCUUGUCUCAUCUCCUGGAUGUAAGAGAAAAUGAAGACAUGGAGCUUCCACAAACAUUUACCUCACUCUUUCAGAUGUAUUUAUAUGGGAAGAUCACCUUGCAUUAUUGAGUGCACCAUCAAUGGGAUCAUAUGUAUCCGUAUAAGAGGGAAACAGAAGGAGGUUUGACAACACAGAAGAGAAACAGUCAUGAGGUGAAGAGUUUGCUUUACCACAUGCUCUUCAUGAUAUGCUGUCCUCACCAGAGGCCCAACACAAUGAGAUCACUUGAUUGUGGACUGGAUCCUCCAGAAUU